UGGGGAAUAUUGCACAAUGGGCGCAAGCCUGAUGCAGCCAUGCCGCGUGUAUGAAGAAGGCCUUCGGGUUGUAAAGUACUUUCAGCGGGGAGGAAGGUGUUGAGGUUAAUAACCUCAGCAAUUGACGUUACCCGCAGAAGAAGCACCGGCUAACUCCGUGCCAGCAGCCGCGGUAAUACGGAGGGUGCAAGCGUUAAUCGGAAUUACUAGGCGUAAAGCGCACGCAGGCGGUCUGUCAAGUCGGAUGUGAAAUCCCCGGGCUCAACCUGGGAACUGCAUUCGAAACUGGCAGGCUAGAGUCUUGUAGAGGGGGGUAGAAUUCCAGGUGUAGCGGUGAAAUGCGUAGAGAUCUGGAGGAAUACCGGUGGCGAAGGCGGCCCCCUGGACAAAGACUGACGCUCAGGUGCGAAAGCGUGGGGAGCAAACA
rnacentral:rRNA from 1 species